rnacentral:rRNA from 1 species
UGGGGAAUUUUGGACAAUGGGGGAAACCCUGAUCCAGCCAUCCCGCGUGUGCGAUGAAGGCCUUCGGGUUGUAAAGCACUUUUGGCAGGAAAGAAACGUCAUGGGUUAAUACCCCGUGAAACUGACGGUACCUGCAGAAUAAGCACCGGCUAACUACGUGCCAGCAGCCGCGGUAAUACGUAGGGUGCAAGCGUUAAUCGGAAUUACUGGGCGUAAAGCGUGCGCAGGCGGUUCGGAAAGAAAGAUGUGAAAUCCCAGAGCUCAACUUUGGAACUGCAUUUUUAACUACCGGGCUAGGGUGUGUCAGAGGGAGGUGGAAUUCCGCGUGUAGCUGUGAAAUGCGUAGAUAUGCGGAGGAACACCGAUGGCGAAGGCAGCCUCCUGGGAUAACACUGACGCUCAUGCACGAAAGCGUGGGGAGCAAACAGG